rfam:Mobiluncus curtisii ATCC 43063, complete genome.
AAAGCCGGGCAGGUAGUCGCGGGCGAGUCAUUCGAUAAGCUCGAGGAAAGUCCGGACUCCACAGGGCAGGGUGAUGGCUAACGGCCACCAGGGGCGACCCUCGGGACAGUGCCACAGAAAGCGAAACCGCCCCACCGGGCUUAUGCACGGUGAGGUAAGGGUGAAAAGGUGAGGUAAGAGCUCACCGCGCGGCUGGUGACAGUCGUGGCAGGGUAAACCCCACCCGGAGCAAGGCCAAGCAGCAGGCUGGGCGGCCCGUUCAAAGCCUGCGGGUAGGCUGCUAGAGAGGUCGGGUAACUGGCCUUCCAGAGAAAUGGCUACCGGCGCGCGGCGGCAACAAAGCGCGUUACAGAAUCCGGCUUACGCCCGGCUUUUCCG